rnacentral:rRNA from 1 species
CCUACGGGGAGCAGCAGUAGGGAAUCUUCCACAAUGGGCGAAAGCCUGAUGGAGCAACGCCGCGUGGGUGAAGAAGGUCUUCGGAUCGUAAAACCCUGUUGUUAGAGAAGAAAGUGCGUGAGAGUAACUGUUCACGUUUCGACGGUAUCUAACCAGAAAGCCACGGCUAACUACGUGCCAACAGCCGCGGUAAUACGUAGGUGGCAAGCGUUAUCCGGAUUUAUUGGGCGUAAAGGGAACGCAGGCGGUCUUUUAAGUCUGAUGUGAAAGCCUUCGGCUUAACCGGAGUAGUGCAUUGGAAACUGGGAGACUGGAGUGCAGAAGAGGAGAGUGGAACUCCAUGUGUAGCGGUGAAAUGCGUAGAUAUAUGGAAGAACACCAGUGGCGAAAGCGGCUCUCUGGUCUGUAACUGACGCUGAGGUUCGAAAGCGUGGGUAGCAAACAGGAUUAGAUACCCGUGUAGUC